rnacentral:rRNA from 1 species
GACGAACGCUGGCGGCGUGCUUAACACAUGCAAGUCGAACGGAAAGGCCCCUUUGGGGGUACUCGAGUGGCGAACGGGUGAGUAACACGUGAGUAACCUGCCCUUGACUUCGGGAUAACUUCAGGAAACUGGGGCUAAUACCGGAUAGGAAUCCUUGCUGCAUGGUGGGGGUUGGAAAGCUUCGGCGGCUUUGGAUGGACUCGCGGCUUAUCAGCUUGUUGGUGGGGUAGUGGCUUACCAAGGCUUUGACGGGUAGCCGGCCUGAGAGGGCGACCGGCCACAUUGGGACUGAGAUACGGCCCAGACUCCUACGGGAGGCAGCAGUGGGGAAUAUUGCACAAUGGGCGGAAGCCUGAUGCAGCAACGCCGCGUGCGGGAUGACGGCCUUCGGGUUGUAAACCGCUUUCAGCAGGGGCGAAGCUUGUGGUGACGGUACCUGAAGAAGAAGCACCGCUAACUACGUG